AUGUGUCUACUCGUGGUUUUCAUCCUGUUCGUGUCCUUACGCGGCUCAUUAAGCCAAACGGUGACCCAGAGCCCGACAGCGGUGACCAGGAAGCAGUGUCAGUCUCUCACCAUUACCUGCCGUUUCCAGCCUGGUUCCAGCGGCAGCUAUUACUUACAGACUGGACAUUUCUUCAAACAUACCCAGUCCAGUACCCAGUGGGAGCGCAUCACGGGCGGGGGACGAUUCAUUGCGUCCACGAAUACAGCUGAAAAUACUUUUACACUGGAAAUACAGGAUUUGAGAGUUGAAGACAGCGCCACCUAUUACUGCAAAGCUGAGUACUGGUGGAGUGCACAGUGA